CGAACGCUGGUCGGCGUGCUUAACACAUGCAAGUCGAACGAGAAAGUUUCCUUCGGGAAACGAGUAGAGUGGCGCACGGGUGAGUAACGCGUAGGUAAUCUACCCUUAUACCUGGGAUAACAUUGGGAAACUGGUGCUAAUACCGGAUGGUCUUCUUUGCUGCGGGGCAGAGGAGUAAAGGUGGCCUCUUCAUGAAAGCUACCGUACAGGGAUGAGCCUGCGUACCAUUAGCUAGUAGGCGGGGUAACGGCCCACCUAGGCAACGAUGGUUAGCGGGUCUGAGAGGAUGAUCCGCCACACUGGAACUGGAACACGGACCAGACUCCUACGGGAGGCAGCAGUGAGGAAUAUUGCGCAAUGGGGGAAACCCUGACGCAGCGACGCCGCGUGAGUGAGGAAGGUUUUCGGAUCGUAAAGCUCUGUCAGAAGGGAAGAAAUGCUAGGCAGUUAAUACCUGUUUAGUUUGACGGUACCUUCAGAGGAAGCACCGGCUAACUCCGUGCCAGCAGCCGCGGUAAUACGGAGGGUGCAAACGUUGUUCGGAAUUAUUGGGCGUAAAGAGCAUGUAGGCGGUCUGUCAAGUCUGAUGU
rnacentral:rRNA from 1 species